AUAAUACAAUUUUUUGAAUCUUGAAUCUUGAAUCUUAAACAGCUAUUUGCUGUCUGAAUCUGGAGGUAGUGGAACAAAGAGAAGUGAAAACACACACAUGAAAGGAGACAGAUUCAGGGAGGAGCUGAGCUGUGACUGAAUGUAGAAGAAAGACAAACGUCUACAUUCAACACGGUUUGAUACACAGUCAGUGAUCAUCAUUCAUCACACUGGAGCACGCUCUGGAGCAAAGACAACACAAUGCUCCACAGCAUCCACCAGAGGGACACGUCAUCCAGUAGGAGCUGCACGACCUCUGCACUGUUCAACCACUGUGUCAGUCAUAACUGCUGCACUGAACAGAACAAUUCUCAGACUGAAUGUUGAACAUCAGCCUCUUUCUCCUCUUGACUUCAACCUUGUUGUAGAGAUGGAUCAUUGGCUGUGGAUUAUUCUGGCUGCUCUUUGCUACGAGUGUAAAGGAGAAGACAGAGUGAUCCAGACAACAGGAGACGUCACUGCUACUGAAGGAGACGCUCUUACGCUCAACUGUACAUUUGAGACGAGUUACACUGGUCCCACAUUGUUCUGGUACAAACAAGAAGUACAUGAUUCUCCAAAGUACAUGUUAAAGUGUCUCUCAAAAUCAGUGGACAACGCGCCAGAGUUUCCAAAAGAACGAUUUGAUGCUGCAAUUGAAGGAAAAUCAGUUCCUCUGAAGAUCCAGAAGCUUCAAGUGUCUGACUCUGCUGUGUACUACUGUGCUCUGAGG